CUUGUGAAGGGUGCUGGAGAGCUCAGAAAGAGAGAGAACUCAAAGAGUGUAAAGAGAGAAACCCAUAUUUGGGUGAAAGAUUGGAAGAAGGAAGAGCAAUUGUAAGAGGAGCUCAAGAAAUUCUACAAAAUCAAAAUUUUAGGUGGGCAAUUGGAAGAUUAACAUUAGAGUUUGCCCCGGAGUCCACCUCUUUGUCAAGCCACCCAAGAAGUGCCUUUGUGUAGAGGCUUUGUUUUAUUUUGUCAAGCUUAGGUUAAUCUUUGUAUUUUGUUAAAAGUCCGUCAUGUAGUGUGUGAGAUAUAAAAUAUGUCUUUGUACAUGUAUAUAUGAAAGUGUGUUAAGAAUAUUUUAAUUA